rnacentral:rRNA from 1 species
AUUGAACGCUGGCGGCAUGCUUUACACAUGCAAGUCGAACGGUAACAGGCCUUCGGGUGCUGACGAGUGGCGAACGGGUGAGUAAUGCAUCGGAACGUGCCCAGAGGUCGGGGAUAACGCAGCGAAAGCUGUGCUAAUACCGCAUGUGAUCUGAGGAUGAAAGCGGGGGACCAGGCAGCAAUGUUUGGCCUCGCGCCUUUGGAGCGGCCGAUGUCAGAUUAGGUAGUUGGUGGGGUAAAGGCCUACCAAGCCGACGAUCUGUAGCUGGUCUGAGAGGACGACCAGCCACACUGGGACUGAGACACGGCCCAGACUCCUACGGGAGGCAGCAGUGGGGAAUUUUGGACAAUGGGCGCAAGCCUGAUCCAGCAAUGCCGCGUGCGGGAAGAAGGCCUUCGGGUUGUAAACCGCUUUUGUACGGAACGAAAAGGCUCUGGCUAAUACCUGGGGCUGAUGACGGUACCGUAAGAAUAAGCACCGGCUAACUACGUG